UACGUAGGGUGCAAGCGUUGUCCGGAAUUAUUGGGCGUAAAGAGCUCGUAGGCGGUUUGUUGCGUCGGCUGUGAAAUCCCGAGGCUCAACCUCGGGUCUGCAGUCGAUACGAGCAAACUAGAGUGUUGCAGGGGAGACUGGAAUUCCUGGUGUAGCGGUGAAAUGCGCAGAUAUCAGGAGGAACACCGGUGGCGAAGGCGGGUCUCUGGGCAACAACUGACACUGAGGAGCGAAAUC
rnacentral:rRNA from 1 species